AAUUUCAUCUGUAGAAACUUUAACUGGAUGAUUAAGAAUAACAAAUUCAAAAAAGAAAGAAAAGAAAACCUAUUUAAAAUAAAGUUAGACACAGCGUUUACAAACAUAUGUAAAUUAGCUUAAAUUUGCUUGUUAAAGGGACUCCACUGAGGUUUAAAAGCCUAAAAGCAUAACAUUUGCAAGUCUUACAUAAAUGAGUUGGGGCACUUUAAAGAAAAAUAUAUGCAAAGAUGGUUAAGAAAUAUACUUUGAAAAAAAUUGAAAAUCGUAUUUUUAUGCUUUCCUCAGCCCGAUUUGAGUGAAAAGCGUUUAAUCGCUUUUCAUUUUGGGUCAUUUUUUUUACAAUUUGAAUAAUUAUACUAGAAAAACGAAGUGCGCGAAUGAUCCGAAAUUUUGCACUAAGAUUAGUUGUCUAAACCUACAUCAAAUGGUACAUUUAUCUGGAAAAAAUAUUUUCAGUCCCAAAAUUUCAAAAAACCUCAGUGGAG